rnacentral:rRNA from 1 species
ACAGCCGUUGCACACGAGUCAGUCGAUCCUAAGCCCUAGGAGAAAUCCUAUGUAGAUGGUUCGGUGUUCUCAAAAGCAUGACCGACCGUCGGGCGAAAGGGAAUCCGGUUCCUAUUCCGGAACCCGGCAGCGGAACCGUUCCAAUUCGGGCCCUCGCAAGAGGACUCGUCGGGGUAACCCAACAGGACCCGGAGACGCCGUCGGGAGAUCGGGGAAGAGUUUUCUUUUCUGCAUGAGCGUUCGAGUUCCCUGGAAUCCUCUAGCAGGGAGAUAGGGUUUGGAACGCGA